AACGAACGCUGGCGGCAUGACUAACACAUGCAAGUCGAACGAGACCUUCGGGUCUAGUGGCGCACGGGUGCGUAACGCGUGGGAACCUGCCCUUAGGUUCGGAAUAACUCCCCGAAAGGGGUGCUAAUACCGGAUAAUGUCUUCGGACCAAAGAUUUAUCGCCUUUGGAUGGGCCCGCGUUGGAUUAGCUAGUUGGUAGGGUAAAAGCCUACCAAGGCGACGAUCCAUAGCUGGUCUGAGAGGAUGAUCAGCCACACUGGGACUGAGACACGGCCCAGACUCCUACGGGAGGCAGCAGUGGGGAAUAUUGGACAAUGGGCGAAAGCCUGAUCCAGCAAUGCCGCGUGAGUGAUGAAGGCCUUAGGGUUGUAAAGCUCUUUUACCCGGGAUGAUAAUGACAGUACCGGGAGAAUAAGCUCCGGCUAACUCCGUG
rnacentral:rRNA from 1 species